rnacentral:rRNA from 1 species
CCUACGGGAGGCAGCAGUGAGGAAUAUUGGUCAAUGGGCGGAAGCCUGAACCAGCCAAGUCGCGUGAGGGAAGACGGUCCUACGGAUUGUAAACCUCUUUUGUCGGGGAGCAAAGAGGCCACGUGUGGCAAAAUGAGCGUACCCGAAGAAAAAGCAUCGGCUAACUCCGUGCCAGCAGCCGCGGUAAUACGGAGGAUGCGA